UAGGGAAUCUUCGGCAAUGGGGGGAACCCUGACCGAGCAACGCCGCGUGAGUGAAGAAGGUUUUCGGAUCGUAAAGCUCUGUUGUAAGAGAAGAACGGGUGUGAGAGUGGAAAGUUCACACUGUGACGGUAUCUUACCAGAAAGGGACGGCUAACUACGUGCCAGCAGCCGCGGUAAUACGUAGGUCCCGAGCGUUGUCCGGAUUUAUUGGGCGUAAAGCGAGCGCAGGCGGUUAGAUAAGUCUGAAGUUAAAGGCUGUGGCUUAACCAUAGUAUGCUUUGGAAACUGUUUAACUUGAGUGCAGAAGGGGAGAGUGGAAUUCCAUGUGUAGCGGUGAAAUGCGUAGAUAUAUGGAGGAACACCGGUGGCGAAAGCGGCUCUCUGGUCUGUAACUGACGCUGAGGCUCGAAAGCGUGGGGAGCAAACAGGAUUGGAUACCCUGGUAGUCCACGCCGUAAACGAUGAGUGCUAGGUGUUAGGCCCUUUCCGGGGCUUAGUGCCGCAGCUAACGCAUUAAGCACUCCGCCUGGGGGAGUACNACCGCAAGGUUGAAGCUUAAAGGAAUUGACGGGGGUCAUAGCUGUUUCCUG
rnacentral:rRNA from 1 species